AUCACACCCCUCCCAUCCAUUUGAAAAUAAGGUAUCACAUCAAGCCGGAAAAUUUAUAAAUACAAAACAAAUGGUCCUCCACCUCCAAAAUCUCUGGACACCACACACAAUCUACGACCCUACCAUCACAAAUACUCACCCUCUUUGCUAUAGAUUCCCUCGAGUUGGUAAGGGUUUGCACCUUAGAUGGUGCUAUACUUCUCCAAUUAGAUCUUUUUUUUUUUUUUUUUUAUGAAUUCUCCAAUUAGCUCUUAAUGCUCUUCAUGUUGCCGUAGACAAAUUCUUAUCCGGUAAGAAUUUCUUAUUAAGGACCACAAAGAUUGAAUCGAUAAAAUAUCGAAAUGAUCAAGAACUCAAAUUGCUAAUGAUAAUCGAGAACCCACAUAUAAAGAGUAUUUUUACUCUUGAUAAAGAUAUUUUUUUUUUUAUCAAGGACAAAAAAAUGUUUAUUCACAUAUAUUCAAUUAUAAUCUACCACGUAAAUAAUUGUGAAAAUAUGUUUUUUUUUUGAAGGAAUGAAAAUAUUUUUUUUGAAAGAUGAAGGAAUGAAAAUAUGUUAUCAAUUAAAUCGCUAAUGUGGUAUUUUUGUGAACCAUGGGGAAAAAAAUUUCAUCCCUGACGUUGACGGCACCUUGUCGUCAAGCUGAAUUGUUCAAAUGCACCGUCUAUCGUCUUCUUAGGAAAGGGAUACCCUAACGUACUAUCAUCAGGUGUCCUAAUAAUAGGGAGCUAUCACUAGUUUUCCCAGUUUUUGCAUAACAUUAAAAUGUCAUUUCUUUAGAUAUAUUCUCACAUGGAAGACCAGUUUAUUCAUAACUCACUCGAUACUCAACUCUACAAAGAGUCUACAUUUAAUCACCAUAUACGCCCUUUAAGUUAUGGUUGAAACUUGAAAAGACAAAAAAUGAAUAAAUUAAGCUUAUAUGAGUUACCUCGUUGCUUAUAAAUUAAUAUGACUAAAGUAGAAUUAUUUGAUAACAAUUUUUUUUUACGAGCUUAUAAUAAUUUUCACUAACUUUACUAAAAAAAAAAAUCACUAGCUUGUAGUAUUUUUUUUUAUAAGCUAUUUCAAAUAGUUAUAUAGUUUGACCAACUCCAUUGAUCAAGGUGAGACCUCAAUAUCCUCUUGAGUCUUGACAGAAGUACAGACCUUCAACUUAUCAUAAACCUUGUGUUUUUUUUUAAUGCCUUUGUAAUUUGUAUUUUAAGCCUUUAAAUAUGUUAGGCCAACCCGUUAAUUUAUCAUUGAUUAAUUUAUCCGCUAUAUAAUAACUAUAAGUUCUUCCUUCAAAAAAAAUAUCUAUAAGUUCUUGUCAAAAAAAAAAACUAUAAGUUCAUCUAUUUAUCAACUAGUUUGCCAACUAUCCACAUAUUUCUUAAGCAAACACAACCUCCUUGGUCUACAUUUUCUUCCAAGGUCGAUUUAUUGACAUGUCCCUUCAAACUAGUAAAUUUGUAACCUUUCUGAGAUCAGUAAUUUCCUUUCUUAAUUAUAUAGUGUAUAUUUAAAUAUAGUCAAUGUAGGAUCUACCAACAUGUAAGAGCCAACCAUCUAGCUUGAGACAAACGACAAUGGAUGGAAUACAUUGGACAAUAAAAUAAAUGAAAUUAUGCUUUAGUUGAACCUAAAUUAUUGAAAUCACAUUAUUGCAACCUAUGACACCAUCCACUAGAGAAUUGUAGCAAGAUGGGUUGGACAACUCAACUAGUUUGAGCUAGAGAUAAAGAGGUGAAGAUCUUGAAUUUAAACCUGAAUAAAGGAGAAAAAAUAAUUACUAACAUUUCUCAUUAAAACAAACAAGACCGGUCUAAUUAUUUGAUGCUUAAAGUGUUUUAAGAUGAAACUUUUUUUUAAAGGGAAUAACAAUAUUUAAUAAUCUGUUCAAAAAACUAGUUAGACUAUUAUUUUUUGGGAACUUCUAUGGUACACUCACAAUUUUGAGUGUACCGGUACUCUUGUUUUACAAAAUUUAUAAAUUAACAAUCACUUUAAUGAAAUAAAAAGGUAUUUGUCAAUAUUUAUAUUUUAGAAAACAUCAUUUCAUAAGAAAAACCAUUAUUUCAUUGUUUAUAAGGAUCAUAUUAAAAAAUUGACAUUUUGUCAUAAAAAAUAAUCAAUAUUCAUUGUUAUGAGUAAUAAAAAUUCUUAAAAAUUAAAUUUUAUUUUGUCGAAGCUUUUGGUAAAUAAAAUUUAAUUAUCGUAGUUGUCAAAUGAUAGAAAAUAAUUAUUUUUUUUUCAAAAAAACAAUUCAUUUAUUACUAAUAUUACGACUUGGUGUACCGAUACACCCAAAUUUAGUGGGUGUACCAUAGAAUUUGCCUAUUUUUUGUUUUAACUUCAUGUAUUUCAGACUUUUUAUGAUGUAGAAUAUCAUUUAUUUCCUUUUUUUUGGUACAAAAGAGGGCUAAAGGCCCAAAAAAAAACUAAGAAGUUAGCCGAACAUUCUUAGGCAUAGAAGCGUCAGAGAUGUCAUAAAAAAGAAGUCUACGGAGUUCACUGGACGGAUUCUCCGUUAUGAUACAAUUAAAAGAGUCUAGAGAAAGGUUAAAGUUAGCCAACCAAUCAGCACAUCGAUUACCCUCCCUCCAAGUAUGGCGAAAUUGGACUCGCCAAUCCAAAGCCAAGAGUUUUCGAUUGCGUUGCACCAAUAUGGAACCUGAGCCACUAAACUUGCAGUUUUCCGUAACCAUGUCAUUCAAGAUUUUAGAAUCACUUUCAACAAUGAGUUGCGGAAUGUGCUUUCGUCAAGCCAUCUCCAAACCAAGAUACAUGCCCCCACAUUAUCACAAACUCCAAUCUUUUAAAUGUAGCCUUUUAGCCAUCUCCCUUCAGAGUCGCGAAAGAGGUCACCACAACUUGAAUAUUCUCCAUUUCCUUUGCAAGCACCGUCACUAUUGAGUUUAAUCCAACCUUCACGGAGUUUCUUCCAACCUAUGUAGAUUGUCUCUUUCAUUUAAAAAUUGUGAUGAAUCCGAUGAUUUGAAAACAAGUCUAUCCAAAACAUUUAUUACUUUAUUGUGAUCAAUAUUGUCUAACAUUUAUUUCAAUUUCAAACAAUAAUAAAUCAAUUCAUUUAGUUUUUUUGGGACAAUGUUUAUCUUAAAUAAAAUUUAUAAUGUAGUUUUUUUUCUUGGGUUGGUUUUUUUUUUGUUCCCAGGGAUUUUUGUUAUUAUUCUUUUAUUUUAUCAGAUUUUAGCUUUUAGGAAAAAUGUUGUGACAAUAGAAUAGAGAAAAUCAUGGACUCAUGACCUCACCACAUGAUACUUUUCCAUCAAAUAGUUUUUUAGUUUACUUUUUUUAAGGCUUUACUUUUGGGUCGUCCCUAAAUGCUAGUCACACCUAUAGAUUCAAAAAUUAAUUCCGAAUGGUUUUUCACCAAUAGAAAUUUAAUUGAUAGAGUCACAUUUUGCUAGAUCCUAUCCUAUCCUAUCCUAUGGUAAUUAAUUUUGAAUGUGAUGAUUGCUGCCGCUAAUUUUUCUCCCUAACCAUGUUUCGGAGAAAACCAAUUUUAGCCCUUGCGUUUGAGAAUAGAAAACCUUACUUUUUCUGUAAGGAGAAUAUUAACCAGCACCAAAAGAAGUAAGUUUUUAUUAAAAAGUAAUGUAAUUAUUACUUAAUAAAAAGUGAAGUUUAUAUUUCUAAGACAAAAUUCUAUUUAUAGAUUUUUUAACCAAUGCCCCCAGGGCAUUGGUUAACAAGACCCUUUUUAUAAUAAGAGUCUAGACCAGAGGGGUACAAGGAGACCCAAACAAAAGUAAUCCCUCCGUUCCAUAUUAAGUAUGACACAGUUGACUCUGUCGCACAUACCAAUAUAUAUUUUUUAUCUUUAAUAUAUUUUAUUAGAAAAAAUUAUAAAAAUUUAAUAUUUUAAAAUACUCAUCAAAAUAAAUCCAACAACAUCUUAUAUGAUAUUAUUUAUCUUUGUAUAUUAGUUAAAAAAAUAUGGUCAAAAUUUAUUAGGUCAAUAAUGCACGAACCGAAGGAGUAUUGUCUAUGCAUGAUAGAGAUUCUAAGUAUCUUUUAGUGGUACUCUUUGGGGACCGCGGGUUUCCAUUAAAGGAAUGAAAAAUACUAUUAGUGAAGUUGUCCAUAUAAUCAAAUGUGGAUGGUAGAUUUUCACAUCUAAUAAAGUUAUUUUGCUACUUUUUUCAUACCAAUCAAACACAUUAUACAACAGUAGGGUAUUGCUGUUCGAUUAAAAACACACCUAGAAAAGUAGGUUGCAUUUUAUUCCACUUGCAUGAACCCAUAUUUCCAUUGUCUGUUGGUCCCGUAAUGAAAAAGAUGGAUAGAUAGAUCAUAGAGUCAGCACAAACCUGUAAUAAUUUUGAGAAUGUAAUUUAUGUGACUUAUGGAAUUUAUAACUAUAUGAACGUUUAUUGAAAGAAAUUCUAUAAUUUACCAAGUUCUCUUUAUUUGUGGAUUGGUCUUGAUGGACAAAUAUAGAAACCCUCAGUCUUUUCACCAUGUGCUCUUGUGAAUGAUACCUCAUGACCAUUUUCUUCCUUUAGGAAAUAUUUUUGUCACGAGAAUAGAUUUAGCAUGUGUAGUGAUUGAUAACUAGCGGUUGAGAUUCCACAUUGCAGUUUUUUCACCAUGAUUGAAUUCACAUGGUACAUACGUGUAAACUUGUGAGUGAGUAAACCCAUAUAGGACAUAUGCGACUACUAUUUUUUCUUGUAUGGCAUGAAAAGUGUGUAUGGUACAUGUACAUGUGUUAAUUUCUGAGUGAGUAUAAGCUCAUAGAGGACAUAUGCUACUUCUGUUUUUUUGUGUAUGACAUGAAAAGAGAGCAAGAAUGACAAGUGAUUCGCCUACUGGCCACUUAAAACUCUUGCACAGUGAAUGCUGUUUUUUUUUGUGUUGGAUCAGUGAGUGAUUGAGAAAUGGUUUGCUUUGCUAGGUUAGUAAGAGAACGAGUUGAGAUAUAUUGGCAUGCAAAUGCGAAAAUUGUUAACUAAAAGCUAGGCUUAAUCAUUAUCAUCAGUAAGAGGAAUGACUAACUUUGGACAGGAUAUAAAGGCAACGAUAGAUUAAGCAUUAUCCUCAACAUAACGAAUAUAUCCCACAACCCGACCACUGACGAACCAAAGUUUGAAUCCGACUCGAUAAAAGUGUUCAGAUUUAUUUUUCGAUUGUCAUAUGGUCAAUGUAUUGUGGUCUGAUGUUCUAUCUUAGUUAGGAAUCAGUUGUAGGAUGAUGAAUUAUACAUAGUUAUUGUCAUGAUGAACAAUUUACAAGUUUUGUUUAUCAUGGAAAGAAAAUAAAGGAACGACUUCGUUUGAAUUGGUUGGUAUGCAUCUGGUCAAUUUAAAAGCAUUGUAACCAUGUGAUUUUUGGUAAUAAAGUUUGGUUAUUGGGUUCACCUUUUGAUAUGGUUAAACUUUUGUUGUUGUCUUGGAUCAAAUUUAAAGAUAAGGGGUUUUCUUAUGAUUAUUAUAUAUCAAUGAAGCACUCAACAACAGAAAUGUUAGGGGUGACUUUUUUUUUCAAUUAAUUUCAUUUUAUUUUUGGUAUGCUCGCACCAUUCUUUUGGUGUAUUUUAGUAAUUGUUGACUGCUGCUAUUUUAUUUAUUUAUUUUAGCACUCCUUGUGCUUUGAUUAAGUUGUGUUAAUAAAUCAAUUUUUUUGGCCUUAAAAAAAAGUGUUCACAUUUAAUGCUGGUAUCUCAAACAAGACUGCAUUUGAUAAAAACUUAGGUUAAAAAGUACUGUUUUCUUGUUGUCAAAGGGUGUGUUUGGUAAAAAAAAAGCUAUAAGCUAGCUGAUAGCUGAAAAGUUAGCUUAUAGCUGAUGGCUGAUGGCUGAUAGCUGAUAGCUGAAAAGUUAGCUGAUUAAAAUUAAAAGUGUUUGGUAAAAUUAGUUGUUGAAGUGACUAUAAAUAUAAAAUGACAUAAAAGGACAUGCUUGUUUAAUUUUUUUUUUUUUUAAUAUCAUAUAUAUAAUUUUUAUUACUUAACGCAUUUAUUUUUAAAUAUUUAAAUAUAUUUCAAAUUAUUUUCAUCUCCAAAAUAAUAAAUGUAUUUAUGAAUUCAAUCGAAUUUUUUUAUUUAACAAUUUUUAUUUUAUUUUUAUGAUUUUUAUUUAAUUGCUUCACUAUUUAUUAUAAAUUUUAUAUAAAAUUAUAUAUUAUAUGAAUUAUGAGCAAAGUAAAAAAAAAACAAAAAAGUGGACAAGAAAAUUUAAAAAGCCAUACAUGGUAAACGUGGUUAGUUUAAGAAGAUAGUGGGUAGUUUUUUUUUAUUAUAAUAAAAUAAAAUAUAAUUAAGAAAAGGUUAAAAUGAGAAGAAAGUAUAAAAAGCUACAAGCUAUAAGCUAAAAAGCUAUGUGGAUUAGCUUCUUAAAAACGCUAUAAAAGGGUAAAAAGUACUGUUUAGUUGAUUCUCGUCUAAGAAUGUCAAUUUAUACUCGUAAGUAGUGCAUGUUUGGGGCUCCAAAGGUUAGGAAUUUUCUUUGGGAUCGGAACGGAAGUUUCAGGACGAGGAUGAGAUCUUACCCUCCGCCGCGCAGGGAUCUCGUGUCCCCAAACAUUUUAUUAAAAUAUCUUGGCUUAAAUAUGCAAACCAUCCCUGUAAUUUGGGCACAUUUUGAUUUUCGUCCCUGUGAAAAAAAAAAUUUAAAAACAUCCCUGUAAAAAAAAUUUAUUUUAAAAAGGUCCCUGGCCCCACUUUUUUGCUGACAUGGGAUGGCUUUGGCCACGUGGCAGUUGCUGACUGUGCAACUUUUGCCACGUGGUAGUCCACGUCAUUAUUUUUUAUAGAAAAAAUCUGAAAAUAUUUUUUUAAAAUUAAAAAAAUUCCAAUUUUUUUUUUUUGAAAUAUGAAGAAUUUUUUUUGGAAAUUAGUGUUUUUAAAAUCUAGAAAUAAAUUUUUGAAACUUAUAUAAUCUCAAAAUUUAUAACUUUUGAAAAUAUAAUUUUCAGUUUUUUUUUAUUUUUAAACUUAAAAAAAUUCAGAAUUUUUAAUUUUUUUUAAUUAAAUAUCGAAAAAUUUAAUUUUCAGAUUUUUUUUAUGAUUUUUGAAAGAAAAAAAUUAAUUAAAAAUCGAAAAAUUUAAUUUUCAGUUUUUUAAUUUUUUUUUUUAUGAUUUUUAUAUUUAUUUUUGGAUUUUUUAUUUUAAAAAAUGAAUUUUUAGAAUUUUGAAAAAAAAUAAAAAAAAAAUUAAUUAUGUGCCAUGCCACGUCAGCGCCACGUGGCAAAAGUUGCACAGUCAGCAACUGCCACGUGGCCAAAACCAUGCCACUUCACCUGAAUAGUGGGACCAGGGACCUUUUUAAAACAAAAUUUUUUUUACAGGGAUGUUUCUAAAUUUUUUUUUUUUACAGGGACGAAAAUCAAAAUGCGCCCAAAUUACAGGGACAGUUUGCAUAUUUAAGCCAAAUAUCUUCUGUUUUGUACUUUCACACAUAUGUUUAUUAAAUUUUGUUGAUAUGUGAAGUUUAUUGUUGUCACAAGAUUCCCAAUAAUAUCUUAUUUUUUAUUUGUUUUAUAAUUAUACUUUAAUUUUCUUUUGUCAAUUUUUGCUAGAAAAUAAUAAAAACUUGAUACUUCUUUAAUGUUGAUGUGAUCCUCUCGGAGACUAGGGAUCCAUGGUGACGGGGAUGAGGAGUGAAUACUCUAAGACAGAGAAUGAGAGUAAUUUUUUAUCUGAUUAUGAUGUGUCCUAUUGACAUCUCUAUUCUCGCAUACUAGACCAUUUGAUAAAAAAAAAUAUAUAACCUAAGAGUAAAAAACAAGUACCGAACGUAUAGCAUAAAAGACAGUUAUUUAAAUAAUUAAUUUAUUGAAUUUGUUUUAGAAAGAAAAGAAAAAAAAAGAGAGCAUGGAGUUGGUCUAUGAGAAUAACAGGGGUGGUAAUAGAAACUUCUCCAUGUAAACUUUAUUCAUAUCUAGUCGGAUUUUGAAGGGACCAGAUAUCCAUCAUUGUAAGUUUACGCAUGCGAGUUGCUCUUUAGCAUCCUCUAAAUGCUAAAAAGUACAACUACUAUCAUUGACGUAUUGCAGUUAAGUGUUGUUCGUCGUUUGAUUACAAAAAAGUAUUAUUCGUCAUAAAAUGGUAGUUAAGUGUCGUUUGUCACUUUUUCAAUCGAUCAAUCAAAUCACUUUUUAAAUCGACUUAAUCAAUUUAAAAAGUCAUUAGAACGGUAAUUAACUGCUUUGAUUAAAAAAAGUAUUAUUCGUCACAAAAUGGUAGUUAAAUGUUGUUUGUCAUUUUUAGAUCGAUCAAUCAAAUCACUUUUUAAAUCAACUUAAUCCAUUUAAAAAGUCAUAAGAACAGUAAUUAAUUGCUAUUAGUCGAAUGCUGCGUUCUUUAAAGAAAGUAACCGGGUUGGUAUAAUGAUAUGCAUAAGAAAUGAUUACGGAAGGUUAGUGAAAGCCAUAACUAGUUGGUCAAUGCCGCUCUUAGAUUUUUCCGAGGGAGAGGCUCUUGGUCUUUUAUAUGCUAUCAGAUGGGUAAAGGAGCAGACUUUUAAUAAUGUCAUUUUCGAGCUCGAUUCCAAGAGGAUAGUAGAUAGUUUCCAUAGCACUAGAAAUGAUGUAUCUGAUUUAGGAGCUAUUAUCAGAGAAUGUAGGAAUACUUUCUCAUCAUUUUUCACAAACUCAAGGUAGAGUUUAUUAGGAAACAAGCUAACGAGGUUGCUCAUAGACUUGCUAGGGCGGCCGGAUUUUAUGCUAGUAUUCACCGGUUCAUUGUAUUACCUGAUUAUAUUUAAGAUGUUUUUAUUAAUUAAAUGGGAUAGUUAUUUUCUGUAAAAAAAAAAAAAAUUACUAUUAGGAUAAUUCUGUCAGUUCAAGAUACCUGAGUACAAGUCAUGGAUGUCUAAAGAGCAAUUUUUUUCAUUAAUUGGUCCAAGAAAAAUGAGCCAAAGUACACAAAAUAUAGAAAUUGCUCUACAACUCUCCCAAGUUGCUCAACCAAUACAAAAAUAUUUUUCCAAUAUUUUUUUUGCCUAUAAUUAUUAUUUUUUUGAAUAAUUUGCCUAUAAAAUUAUAUAGUAUAAAUUAUUAAUAUUAUUGAUAAAGUAAUAUAAUAUUAAAAAAAUAUACUAAAAUUUAAAAAUAAAAAAAAAACGAACAACGCAAGAGACAAACGAACUCUGGCGGCAAAAGGUAAGCUUCCACUAUCAAGCUUCAACCGAAUCAGCCGGCCUCACCUUAAAAAUUAGAAAAUUUCGUCUUCUUCUGAUGAAAGCGAAAUGAAUCCCUUCCACUUCUUCUUCAAUGGCAUUAUUCCCAAUUUCAUAUUCCAUAAUCUACCAUGGCGCCACCAUCUCUCGCCAUUUCUCUCAUCUUCUCACUCCUCAUCACUUCCUUCUUCAAACCAUCACUCUCUUCCACUCUCGGCGUCGACGCCAUCUCCCGCACUCUUCAAAUCCAGCACCGAGAACGAUCACCGCCGUCCGUUCAAGAAGCCGCCGCUCGCUCUGUCCUCCUCCGCUUGCUCCCUUCCCAUUCCGAUUCUUUCCACUUCCGCAUCAUCUCCAAGGCAUUUCAAUUUUCUCUUUCUAUUUCUCUGACCUACUUCUUGUAGUUUUCAAUUUUUUCACUCAUUUUUGUUACUAAUUUACAGAAGCAAUGUGGAGGUGAAUAUUGUUUCACUAUUAAUAAUCAUCCUUCUUUCACAACACAAGGGAGUCCUCAAAUUCUGUACGUUACUUUUGAAUUUCUUGAAAAACUGUGAUUGUGUUUAUUUUAGCAAUAAAUUGAUUUAUAAUCUCGAGUUAAAUAUUUACUAAAAAGAAAGUAGUUGAUAAUGUAAAAGUUUUGUGAGGCUUUUUCAGCUUAUAACUUAUACGAAAACAAUUUAACUUUAUUUAUCCUUUGCUAUAGUAAUAGGUUGUACAUAAGUGCUUAUCAUAAUAAGCGCUUGUCUAUAAGCUGCAAAUAAGCUAUUUAUCCAAACAUGACUAGUUUACUAAAGUUUUUUUUGAACUGAACGAUUCGUGUAUUAACAUGUGAUCAAUCAAAUUAUCAGAAUGUCAAAAUAAUUUAGUAUGUCUGAGAUAUCUUUUUGAAUUAUUAGUAUUUUUUUUGGAAUAAGUAAAAUUUAUGUUGAAUUUUUCAUUGAUAUAAGAAGAUACAGUUUUUAGACUAUAGAGAGCAACAACCUAUAGGCUAAACAAACUUAUGAAUUUGGAACAGAAUUGAAGGGACAACAGGAGUGGACAUUGUUUCUGGUUUGCACUGGUAUUUGAAGCAUUGGUGUGGUUCACAUAUAUCUUGGGACAAAACCGGUGGCUCCCAACUAUUUUCAGUACCCAAUGUGGGGUUGUUGCCACGUGUUCACGACGCUGGAAUCUCGGUUAGGAGGCCUGUUCCAUGGAGCUAUUACCAGAAUGCUGUCACUUCUAGCUGUAAGCUACUUCUUUUUUGUUUUCAUAUAAUAUUUCUUUGGUGCUGUGUUUGGAAUUGGCAUCUGAAGAUUUCAUUUCAUUUUCAUGUGAUCUUGUUAUUUGGUUUUGGAAGAUUCUUUUGCUUGGUGGGACUGGAAAAGAUGGGAAAAGGAAAUCGACUGGAUGGCUUUGCAGGGUGUCAAUUUGCCACUUGCAUUUACGGGACAGGAGGCUAUCUGGCAGAAAGUGUUCAAGGUCAUUUUCAUACCAGUUUGUCUUUACAUAAUUCUUGGUAUGGGUUUCGCAUUGUGGUAUUUGUCACUCAUGGAAACUUUCUGAUAAUGGUUUUUGAGCCCACAAAUUAUGCAUCAUUAAACUAACUUUGGACAUUAAUGAAGCUGUUACUUUUAUUUCUAAUUUACAGAAAGCAGGAGUCUCAAAUAAAUUUUAUCUCACAUGGCAUUUGAUGCAUGAUUAAAAUAGAGGGAGAGGGGAACAUUUUUUGUUAUAUUUCAAUCUCGUCAGUCCCGUUAUUUUAGAUGUAACUUAAAUCAUAACUUAAAAUGUAGCACUUUACGUGGAAGCUCAAUAAUGAUUUACAUUUCCAGGACUCAAAAAAGUUUUCCAAGAGCCACUUCAUAUAGCCGGUGCUUUCCAUCUAUUUAAGUAACAUUUGAUUAGAUAUUUAGAUUUUAGAGGUAUGCUUUUCAGAUGUCAACCAAUUUUAUGCUACUAGCUUUUAGUGUUUUAAGAUACUGUCAUCACGACAUAACUACCACAAAAUACCAAAGCCGUGCUCUGUGUUUGAUCCAAUUUGCAUAUAGUUUGAUCCAAGUUUUACUACAAUCCAAUCUCCCAAGGAAACAUAUAAUGCUAUCUGGUAGUCUUGCAAGAUAUAGUAAAUGUGUAGGCACGGUUAGAUUGGUACCUUAGUUCUCUGGUACACUUUUUUUGCUGUGUAAUUCUUACCAUUUUCUGUUUCGAUGUUUUGGUUUUAUUGGCCUCUUGACGAUGGUAAGGAAAUAAAAAUGUACAACUUGAUUUAGGCCCUUAAUUGUGUCACUGGCUAGUUUGCUCAAAUCAUCGGACCAGCAGUUCUGUAAUCUCAGAUAUCGUGCAACAGAAUUCUACUCCACAAAAUAGCUCUUAAAUAGCUGACCUUAUAUUCAAUCUACAGGAGAAAUUUAACAUGAGCAUUUCUAAUUUGGAUGAUUUCUUUGGAGGCCCAGCAUUUCUUGCAUGGUCACGUAUGGGAAACUUGCAUGGGUGAGUGGUAAUUCACAGGCCUUCUGUAAGUUCCGUUUGAUAUUCAUAGUGUGUUUUUAGCUCAAGGCAGACGUAAAACUCAUAUAUUAAAGUAAUUUAUGUGGAAACUAGAAUAAUGAAUAUAUAAUUACUUUUCAGUUUCAUUAUGAAAUUGUCAAGCUUGAUGCUUUUAGUAAACACACUCUCUCUCUCUCUGAAUUGGCUAGAGUUUCAUUGUCAUCAUACCUGGAUAUAGCAGACAUAGUUUGAGAGAAUAAGUAAUUAUAUUUUAAAGGAUAUUUCAAUUGCAGAUGGGGUGGGCCACUGCCACAGAGCUGGUUUGAUCAACAAUUAAUCUUACAGAAGAAAAUUCUUGCGAGAAUGUACGAGCUUGGAAUGACUCCUGGUACUCAUUAGUCAUUACUAUCAUUGACUCUUCUACCAGACAGUGAUGAAUUAUUGUUAAAUUUUAUGCAAACUACAAAACAACCAAAGAGAAAAAAUAAAUAUUUUUCAUUUGGUUUCAGUUCACCUUCCACUCCUUUUCUGGAAGUAAUUUGAAUACUGAAUAAUUGCUUUUCAGUCCUGCCAGCUUUUUCUGGAAAUGUCCCUGCUGCCCUGAAAUCUAUAUUUCCAUCAGCAAAAAUAACACGCUUAGGAAAUUGGUAAGUACAGCAUUGUACACAUUGACUUGAACUUGGUGUAAUUAGUCUUACCAAACAACCACACUGGUUUAAAAGGGCGGUUUGUUAAGUGCUUAUUGAAUAAAUGUUUAUCAUUUAAGCCAUAUGCACAAGUUAUUUCCAUAAUAAAAUAUGAAACAUGCUUAAAUCAUUUUCAUGUAAGUUGUAAGCUAUAUAAAAAUUAUAUUCUAGGGAAGAAUUAUGAAAAUCAAUUAUUGAAGCUGGCUUGGAGACGUAAGUUGCAUGCUUAGCACACACUUAUACACUCUUCACCACACUACAAAAAUGUAGAGUCAUCUUACACAUUGAAGCCCUGGCACCUGUACAGUCUUCACCAGUUUAAAGCCAUAGACAUGUUUCCUGUGUCGGUAAUGGCUAAUAACAAAAAAUGUUUAGCUUUAACCCCUAUAACUGAGAUCAAUAAUGAGUGUGCUAAAAUCCUAGCAGUCACUGAUUUUAAUUUUCUAAAUAUUGAAUAUAUCUUGUGCCUGUACUAGUACAUAUAUACCAGUUUAUAACUGAGAUCAAUCAUGGAAGUGCUAAGUCCUACCAGCCACCGAUUUUCCUUUUCUGAAUAUUAUUGAUACCAUGUAUUUUUAUGGAUAAGCCUAAUUGAUGCAUAGGGAAGCACUUGUGUCCUAUUGAACUUCACCAACCUAUGUAGGCAAAACUGAUAGAAAACAGAGAGCCAGUCUGCAAAGAAUAAGCACACAGUCGCAUAAUGUGUGCAACUUAAUAUAGAAAAUAAACUCAGAAAUCUAACAAAAAUGCCAUAGGCCUGAAACCAUCUAGAAAACCAUCAAUAAUGACCUCAUAUCCUGUAAUUGUAUUCACUUUCCUGUUGCAUUUACAUCCAUGAACCUACCGCCUACACAUUUUAUUGACCGUUUUUUCUUAGGUUUUCUGUUAAGAAUGACCUCAAAUGGACCUGCACUUAUCUUCUUGAUGCAACUGAUCCCUUGUUCGUUGAGAUCGGGAGAGCAUUUGCUGAACAACAAUUGCAAGGUGAUAUACAUGCUUCUUUAUAACUUAAUUGGCAAUAAUGCACGACAUGGUAAAAAAUAAAAAUAAAAAAACAUUCUGAAAUAAAUAUCCACAUAUCAGUUAACAUUAUGUGUUAUUUGAUUACGUUUUCACCCAGAGUAUGGAAGAACCAGCCACAUAUACAACUGGUAUGUUCUUCUUUGCUCAUCAGUUAAUUAUAGAACUUUAAAUUUUAUUGCUCCAAUAUUUGUGAAAAUGACUUUCUUUUGGUUCAUGGAAUACUUUUCGAAUAUAUAUAUAUUUUUUUUAUGUAAUAUUGCAUACUUAUGGAGGUCCUUCCUAGCAUACAUUGGUAUUAUUUUGUCUAUGUAGGCUCCUCAGAUAAUAAAUGCAUAUUCGUUGGUAUUCCUUAAUUUAAUUUCAUGUUUGAAUCUCACCCUCAUAUAAUAAUUGUGAUGUGGCUGUCACAUCUUCCGUGUUAAGGAUUUUUCAUGUUCUUUCUGUUCAUCCGUCAGAAACAUACUUUAUAUAAGUAAACUCUUGUUGUUCAUUCUUAACUUUUUUAUGAAGCUAAUUUUAUGUCUCAAUAUUGUUUUUGUUAAACUAUAUAAUGGUGUACGUACUGGGCUCGGUAUAAUGUAACAAGAGGGUUUAAGUCCUGUUUUUACUUUAUUACUUUCAUUUGAUUUCUUAUGGAGUUGGGGUGUUAUUUAUUAUUAGUUACAACAGAUAAGCUAUUCCACUAAAUUAAGUUAUGCUUUUGAAUAGUAAGGAAAUGAUUAUCAUGAAAAAUAGAUAUUUUGUUAUGGAUCUCCAGCUCAUUUGAAUUAUGGUUUAUAUGUAUACACACCAUCACACUUUAUUAUAUUUCGUUUGUUCAUUAAAGAACUUGUCUUUCCAUGCAUUAACAUAUAGUAUGAUGGAUCAAUCACAGCGAUACCUUUGACGAGAACACCCCACCUAUUGAUGAUCCAGAGUACAUUUCUUCACUAGGUGCAGCAAUCUUUAAAGGAAUGCAGAGUGGUGAUAAUGAUGCUGUUUGGUUGAUGCAGGUAACAGAGAUUAGUCAGUUUUUUUUCUUUUUUCUUUCAAUUGAAUCUUGAUUUGAUGCUUCUAUGUUCUAGCUUCUGUAUAUAACUAUGCUAACAUUUUCAUGGAAGUAUAUUUUUGCAUCCUCUAAACUCUAAUAAUUCUUUGUUUAAUUAUGCAGGGCUGGCUAUUUUCAUAUGAUCCGUUCUGGAGACCUCCUCAAAUGAAGGUUUUUAUUUAUAAUUGUUUACCUCCUCCCAACUUCAUUCCUUGUUUUGACAGCAAAUCUUAAUAUAAGCAAAUCUUGUCUGAGAACUGGCUAUCAUUCUCGCUGUUUCGUUUACAAGGAUUUCUAUUUAAUAUUGAUUCUUGUGCCUUUUUCCUUUAAAAUGUGAUAGUUUCUAGGAAUCUCUAUUUUGCAUAGACUGUAACUAGCAAUCUUCAUCAGAACAGUUUUCCUUUUCUUUUUCCCUUCUUUCAGUGCCUGUUUAAGAUAAAGGGCUAGAAUAGUCUGUAUACGCAUUAGAAGAAAUGUAUUUUUUAUUCAAUAUAAAUGCUUUCUAGAAGUAGUUCACUGUUCACCCUGGUUAUUUAUUCUAACCAAAUUAUCAUUCAGAUGCAUAUGAAUUUUGUCUGUGAUUGUUUUCAGGCCCUUCUGCAUUCUGUUCCUGCGGGAAAGCUUGUGGUUCUUGACCUGUUUGCCGAAGUAAAACCCAUAUGGAUAACCUCAGAGCAAUUUUAUGGUGUUCCUUACAUCUGGAAAGUCAUUUUCUAUCAUAUAUUUAUAUUUUAAAAUAGGGUAAAUUACACUCCCUUUCAUAAGAGAAGUUUGGAUUAUACUCUCCUCUUCUCUUAUGUUAAAAUAUACACCUCCAUUCCUUGAGAAAUAAAUAAGUAUUACACUUAGGUUCAUCUUAAUGUAAACAAAUAUUUUGCUGAGAAGAUAAAAUGAAGCUUUAAAUACCCCUUUUAUUGGUUUUUGAUCUUCUGUUGAUAAUAGGUAUUUAAAGCUAUAUGUUAGUGACAUCGAGAAUUAAAAAUAGAGAAAUCAGGGGAAUGGUAUAUUAUCAAGGAUGGAAAUGGUAGAUUUUAACAUGAGAGGGGAGGCAUAGUUCAAGCUUUUUAGAGAGGAGGAAAGUGUGAUUUUCUCAAAAACAAUAAUGGCCAUACCCAUAUAAAUUUGUUUCAUCCAAAACAAGAUAUAUAUCCACUUAAAUGUGAAGAUUUAUAUCAUUCGAUGAGAUAAAUCAGGGGAGUAAAUUGAAUUAAUUCAUUUUUUAUUUAUUUAUGUAUAUGCAUUUUAUCAUUGAUUUUUUUAUGAAAAGUUAUAGCUUCUCACGUUUUUCUCUAUAGCCAAUGUUUGCACAAUUUUGGCUAUCAUUACACUUGCCUCCACUAUACUUAAUAUACAGGGGGCAUCUUCACUCUUACUUAAGCAAACAUGCAUACUUGGUAUAAAUAUGUGAAUACGUUUUCUAGUGCCUCCUAUAGUUUGACAUACACCAAAGUUUAAUUGGAAGUUAUCAGCUCGCACCCACAUUCAGCAGCUUAAACCAGUGAUUUUAGAGAUAUCUGCUAUGUAUAACUUAGAAAUGUUGUCAUAUGGAAAUAUAGUAACUAGCACAUAGAUUUAGAACUUUGAAGUUCGUUAUAUUAUACAUCUAGAUUAUCCAAAUCUUUGUUGUAUGCAUUCUUUUUCCUUUUGUUGUAUUUUUUAAUGUUCUUUUAAUUGACUGGGUGUGUUGUGCUUGACAGGUGUAUGCUGCACAAUUUUGCAGGAAACGUUGAGAUGUAUGGGAUAUUAGAUGCAGUAGCAUCUGGGCCAAUUGAAGCACGUACAAGUGUUAACUCAACAAUGGCAAGUUAUUCUUUUUUGUGGGACUCAAUUCUGUAUCUAAUGUGUCACUGUUGAAUUGCAGUAAUUAAGUAAUGAAAAACAAAAAGAGAUUAUAGGCUCACAAAGAGUAUCAAAUUGAUAUGCUCUAUUAAGAUUAUCAUUGUCAGGUGUGUUCAAAACUGAACCGAACUUACUAAGAUUGUAAGAUAUGAUAAAUGCUAAACACAUAUUUUUAUUAUUUUGAAAGAAAAUGCUUAAAACAUAUUAUUAUUAUUAUGAUUUACGCACGUAAUUUUGGUAAUAAUUUUUCUAUAACUUGUUUUUUUCUUAUGAAUUAUUUUUCUGACAAAUUCUAUAACUUCUUAAAAUCGUAGAAAUCAUAAUUCUUAUACCUGCUUGAUUUUCUGAAGGUUGGAGUUGGAAUGUCGAUGGAAGGUAUCGAACAGAAUCCUGUUGUAUAUGAUCUGAUGUCUGAAAUGUCAUUUCAGCACAAUAAAAUUGAUGCUAAGGUAACAAUGAAAUAAUAUAAGAUAUGUUGUACUAUUUCAAUCAAGGUCUUACUCUUACCAUGUUCUCAUGUUAGGGGGAUCUCCCGUGGGCCGUGACCUAUGGAACCCCUCACAUUGUAGGAGCCCAGUAUUUUUAAUAUAGAGAUGUGCUCAUAUUGUUUGCCACAUUUGGUUGAGGAGAAAUUUUCUACCACAAAUUUAGUUAUUCACCUCUACUUAGUAAUUUUGUACAUCGAAUAUAAUCCUGACACUAUUUUUCCUCUCUUCCCUCGUCUGCAACCCCCUUUCUAUAGAACAACCAGAAUAUUGAACCUCAGUUUGCUGAUAAUUAUGAUCAGAAUAUAUGAAGUUAUAUAGCUGCCUCUAACCUUGAAUAAAAUAAGCAUUACCAGGCGAACAAUGUUACGUAUUCCUUGUGGCAUUUUUAUUUUAUUUGUGGCAAUGUUAUUCUGAUUCGGCAUAGAUGCCUUGUGACCAUGAAGCUGUGAAGCACCGACACACACAAGGACAUCCGUACAUGACACUGACACAUAGACACUAGUAAUAAUUUGAGAAAAUGAAAGUGAUUAAAUGCAACCACUUGUGGCAGUGUCGGACACACUUUCAACUAAAAGUGUUAGAUAGCCUGUACGUCAAGGGUUCAUAUUUUGUAAAAGGUCUCUCCAUUUGCGGUGGUAAGGCUGUGUGUAUCUUCCAUCUCCAGACCCCACUUGUUGGGAGCCUUGUGCAUUGGGAACCCUUUAAUGAUAUUAUGCAUAUCUAUUAAGUCAUUUGGUUUUAACAAUAAAGCUAUUAAAUGUCUGAAGUCGAAAGCACUUCCCUUGUUCCAUGCUUUGCUUUAUUUAGUUUCUAUUUUCACUAACUUGGUAUUGUUUUCAGACUGAAAUGCAUUACGGUUGUUCCUAUUUCAGGCAUGGGUUGAUUUGUAUUCAACCAGACGAUAUGGAAGACAAGUUCCUUUGAUACAAGAGGGAUGGAAUGUUUUGUAUCAUACCAUAUACAAUUGCACUGAUGGAGCCUAUGUAAGUAGUUGGUUGUUACAAAUAACCCGCUGCUAGCAAUUUCUUCCAGUCGAACAACAUAAGACUAUUUGUUUUAAUUAUCUGUUCAACUUUUACCAUUGUUCAUUUACUGUCUCGCCUUCAUUGCUAAACUUCCAUUUUUCCUUUUAUGGUGUGUUGUAUUUAUGUCAAACAAAAUAAAUGAUUUAUGUAUUACUUUUUCUCCUCAAUUUUCUGUUCUCCUUUUAUCUCACAAACGACUUCUGUAAACUAAUAACAUCCUCAGCUGCAUAUAUUAUGUUGAAUUUCAACUUUGCAUGCAUAAAUAAGAAGAUCAUUUUCAGUUUUACCAAAUAUUUUUUGGUGUAUGGGAACAGGACAAAAACAGAGAUGUCAUUGUAGCAUUCCCAGAUGUAGACCCUUCCUUACUUUCAGUUCAGCAUGAACACUCUCGCCCCUAUGGCAAGCCAUUCUCGAGAGCAGUUAGCAAGGAAAUAACUGAUUCAUUUGAUCGACCUCACUUAUGGUAUUCAACAUCUGAAGUAAUUUAUGCAUUGGAGCUAUUUAUAUCUAGUGGAAACGAACUUCCAAAAAGUAGUACAUAUAGGUAAGAGAAGUUGAUUACUUAAGAAUUACCAGUCCUCAUUAAGUACCUCAAUGUUGUCUUAUUGUAUGUUAAGGUUCAAUAUCCAGAUUCUUACUUCUUCAAAAAAAAAAUCCAGAUUCUUACUAUUUUUUUUUUUUUAUAAGAAGAUUCAUGCUAUUUAUUCUUUAUUAGGUAUGAUCUUGUUGAUCUCACCAGACAAGUGUUAGCAAAAUAUGCAAAUCAGCUGUUCUUUAAGGUCAUUGAGGCAUACCAAUCAAGAGAUAUCCAUGAAGUGACCCUACUCAGCCAAAGAUUUCUUGACCUGGUGGAAGAUUUAGACACGUUGUUGGCUUGCCAUGAUGGAUUUCUUCUAGGCCCCUGGUUAGAUAGUGCAAUACAACUAGCUCAAAAUGAAGAACAGAAGAGACAGGUUUGAUUGCCUUCUAUAAGCAUAAAAUUGAAAAUCAAUCCGAUCCUAUACAUACUUAUGUUGAUUUACAGUUCUUAACAUUUUCAGUUUGAGUGGAAUGCUAGAACACAAAUCACCAUGUGGUUUGACAACACAGAGGAAGAAGCCAGUCUGCUUCGUGACUAUGGUAUGAACAGCAAUUAACAGAGAAAAAGAAAAUAAAAGUAGUGCGAUGUUUGGACAUAUUAAAUGAUUGUUUUACUAUUUUCCACAGGGAACAAGUACUGGAGUGGGCUUCUGAGUGAUUAUUAUGGCCCAAGAGCUGCUAUUUAUUUUAAAUAUUUGAGAGAAAGCUUAGAGGCAGGCGAGGAUUUCAAGCUAAAGGAAUGGAGGAAGGAGUGGAUAAAACUUACCAAUGAUUGGCAAAGCCGUAGAAAUAUAUUUCCAGUUGUAAGCAGAGGAGAUGCUUUAAACACUUCAAGGUGGCUCUUCAACAAAUACCUGAACCUGAGCAAUCCUGAGACACCGGGAGCUGUUUCAAUGAACAUUAGUCUUAAGGGGGUGUAUUUGAAUCAUGAUUCUAAGGGAUUUUAAAAGACUUUUUUAUUAUGAAAAAGUCUUGUGGUAUUCAAUCAAGACUCUUUCCAAUUUAAAAAAAGUCUUGUGUUAUUCAAUCAAGAUUCCUUGUCAUUUUAAAAAAGUCUUGUGGUAUUCAAUCAAGACUCUUAAUCACUUAAAAAAAGUCUAGUGGUAUUCAAAAAAAUUCAAAUUUCGAAGGAUUGUUUAAUAAAUCAGAUUUUGAUGGAUUUUGUGGGAUUUUCUAGUGAAAUUUUAGCAUGAAAAAGUUUUCAUGAAAACAUGAGAUUUUUAGGAUUGUUUUUUUCUUUUAAGAUUUUACUAUCUCUUCCUCUCUCUCCUCGCUUCUCUCUCACUCUCUCUUUUCCUCUCCUCUCUCUCUCUUCUUCCUUCUCUCUCUCUCUCUCUCCUCCCUUCACUCUUUNNNNNNNNNNNNNNNNNNNNNNNNNNNNNNNNNNNNNNNNNNNNNNNNNNNNNNNNNNNNNNNNNNNNNNNNNNNNNNNNNNNNNNNNNNNNNNNUUUUUUUCAAUUAUUUCUUAAAAUUCAUAAAAUCUAUUGAAAUCUCUUGAAAUCCAUAAAAUCAUUUCAAAUCCUUUAAAAUCUUAUAAAUUAAAUCCAUUGAAAUCCUUAAUAAUAUUUUAAAAUCAUCAAAUUAAUCAAAAUCCAUCAAAGUCUUUUAAAAUCAUUAAGACUUUUUUAAACAAAAAUUGUCCUUUAAAAUCCUAAUCCAAUACACCCUCCUAAAUGUAUAUGAAACCAAAACCUUGUUAAUGUGGGAAUGGAACUCGUGGUUUUCUGGUGGUGCAAAAUAUGUACAACAGACAUUUGGAGACAGUUUUUUCUGAUUGAUGGGAGAAUAACUGGAUAAGGAUCAUUGUCCAAAAAAUAACACUGAAUAUGGAUCCCAUUGUUUAAUAUUAAUUGACCAUCAGGCAAGGUGUCUUUGAUGAAUGAAUUGGAAUAUUAUUUUUAUAAAAAAAAAUCUAAACAAAACAUUCCGACCAUGAAAAUAGAAGAAGAAAUAAACCAAAGUAGAUCGAAGCUGACAAGCUAGGUUUCUUGUGUGAACAAACCAGUUUGAGGAGGAAUCACACUAAAUCAUACGCGCAAGAACUUUGUACCUUUGAAUUUCUUUUGUAGAAUUAUUCGUUGGAAAAAUGGCGGUCCUAUUGACUUUUUCUUUUCUCGUUAAUAUUUUUUUUUGUCAAUCUUUCUUCAUUAAUCUAAUAAGGGAAAUGUUGACGAGUAGGCCGGGCACUCUUUAACACCUUUAAAUAAUAAUUUUGUAUGAAAAUAUAUGUAAUUAAUACUUUGGAAAUUGAAAUAUUAGCUUUUUUUUAUAAUAUAAUUUUUUUUUUAAAUCCUUAAGAGUAUCUGGACAUCGUUAACGAGAUCCAUUUAAUAAAUAUAAAGUGGAAAAAUGGAGUUUUUUUAGAGGUUUUAAUUCACUCCUAAUUUAUUGUAGCCACGAAUACACCAUUAUCCAAUAAAGAUACUUUAAUAAAGUGUAUUUUUUUUUACUUGACCAAAGAAGGAGUAUUUUUUUUUUCUCCUUCAUUAUACAUAUGUUUUAACGUGUGCGAAAGGGAUAAAAGAGUGAUUGAUUGUGAAAUUGAAGGAGUAUCUCUAUAAUUGACGGUGACGAAACCACCCAGAUUGGUCCUAGAGCUUUCAAAGAAUAAGUGCAUAGCCGCCAAAGCAUAAAAAAUGAGGCCAACAAUUCUAGACUUCGAAAUUUGAAUCAUAACGUAAGCGCAAGCGUGUGUUUUUUAUGGGAAUUAUUUUUCAUGAUCUUAAUCAAAAUACACGUUUUCCAGAAGCUUCCCCAAUGAGAAAACGAGUUAUCUUGUUGUGGAUGUCUCCUUAAAGUGUCAAAGUCCACGUCAUAACAUUAACUUAACACAUGUUAUUAAGAUUUUGGUGGAUUGCUUAAUCUACUUUGCCAACUACUUUUGAACAAGUCCUUCUAGUCCUAUAAAAAUGCAUUGAACUCGUUCUCAAUUCUUCAUCUCCAAAUAUCAACUCAAUUCUUUCUCACAUAUUUUUUCAGCUCUCUCCCCCUUUGAAGAAAUGGAUUCUCAUGGCACAUCCUGGGCUGACCAAUGGGACGAUGGUCCUGACCCUUUGAAUGGUUCCAACCAAUCCAAAAAGAAGAGCAACAAAGACAAAGUCCUAGACAAGACCAAGACAGUUGCAUCUUCUGGCGUCAAGAAGUUGAAGGAGGGUACCUCCGUUAGCCUCCAAUGGAUCAAGACCAAGUAUAACAAAACCACCCAAAAACAUUAAAAGUUACUUUUAGUUUCUAUUCUAUUUAUUGUACAUGUUAAUAUUUAGUCCUUUGUUUUGUUUUUUUAACUGGUUGAUUACUACUAUCACCUACCAGUAUGUCUUUAAUUUGAUCUUUCAAUUCAUUUAUUCUUAAUGUGUGAGGUGAGUUUUGAUGGACAUAGCUCUUUACUCUGUACAGGAGAUAUGGUUGUAUUGUAUCUUCCGUUCGAGUAUUUCUUUUUUUUUUUACUUGAUGGUUUAGGAUUGUUGUACUGUAUACUUAUGUAAUAAAGAUUGAUUUUUCAAUUUUAUAGUUUUAUCUGGUGGCCAUCUAGAAGUUUCAAAAUCAACAAUUAAUUGCAACGUUGGUUCUCAAAAUUAACAAUUUUAACAAGAAUUACAACGUCAUGAUUAAUCACCUUUUGUAAAAAAAAAAAAAAACGCCCGGUUGUAGAAGGUCUAUAUCCAACUGUCCAUAUAGCCGGUUGUAGAAAUCCUCUUUUCUAUAGAAUUUUAUGUCAUACCAAAAAUUAUAUGUCAUAACAAAAAUUUCACUUACUUGAAUAAAAUUUUAUGGGGAUAAUUAUGUGAUGGCUAGACGGCGAAAAUGCACAUAGGAGAGGAGAUGGUUGCAAUACGACGAACAGCGAUGGAUGUUGGUGGUGUAGGCAGACAGGUUGGAGAGGGAGAGUAUGAAGGGAAAUAAGAAGUUUGGGUUUGGAGGGAGAAUGGGGAAGUACAUUUGGUUACUACUUUUCCAUUCUCCUUGCGGGCGGACAGAGAGAAUGAAAAAUGACACUUUGUAACUUUAAAUUUUUAUUAUCCAUGUUUGACUGUGUUUUUUUUUAAAGGGUUGGUUUUCAGUUUUUAAAUACUAUUUUAUAAAUCAAUUUUACAUAGCUAAAUUUAAAAAUAAAUUUUUUAAAAAUGUGUCUGAUAAACUAAUCUUAAAGAUAGUUUUAGAAAUGAGCAAAUAAAAACUUGUUUGAUAAUUUAAUCUUCAAAAUAUGCUAUGAACACUAAAAAAAGCAUACACUUUGACUUCAAAAUUUAAUUAAUAAAUUUAAUUUAAAAAAUGUAUUUAAGCGAAUUUAAAUAUAUGGUGCAUCAAUUUUGUAUCCUAUAUUGGUAUACAAAAUUCAAUUAUUUAAGGAAAAAUAUGGAAGAAAAAAGUUUGUAUCUCUUUUAUGUAUAAGUAAAUAUAGAUUUUUUUUUGUGUGAAAGGGUAUAAGUAAACAUAGAUAGAUACAUUCAGUGUAUUAUUAUUAUUAUUAUUAUUAUUAUUAUUAUUAGAGUAAUGAUAAGUGGAAAUCUUGUAUAUGAGAACAUUACCCACUAUUGGUGGUUGUUGAUUGUUGUUCACGUAAAUGUAGUUCUGACAACUCCACAAUAGUUGGCGGCGUAACACUGAUGAUCCGUAAACAUCAGUAGUUGGACUCUGUCCAUGACGGUUGGCAAUAAGCUUUGAUAGCCCCUCACUAUGGUCGACCGCUUUAUACUGCUAUUGGUGUUAUUUAUUUAUAAAUAAAUAUUUUAAUAAAAAUUUUAAAAAAAUUGUUCAUUUAUUUAAUUUAAUUUUUUUUUUAAAUAUGGUGUCCCUAUAUAUGGGGUUGUCAACCAAAAACUACUAUCCUCUAGAAAAAAACCAAAAACACCCUUAUCAUCACCAUUGACUUUGAAAUUAAAACAGUAAGGAUGCGUUUGAUUUAUUAAAAUAUAGAGGACAGGACAGAACAAUAAAAGUUGUGCGGUGUUUGAUCCAAAAGAUAACAAUGGAACAGAACAAAAACAGUAGCGGAGCACUGGACAAGUCUCCCGAAAUUUGUAACCCGCUUAAUUGGAGGACAAGUUUUUGUCCGCUGGACAGGAGAGCAAAAGACAACGUAACCCCUAUGAUUUUCACUUUCUGUAAGCAGCAGAAUAUUUUAAUUUUUAUUUUAGCUUUGCUUUGACAUUGCUUUUCCAAUUUUGUUUAUCACAUUUUUCAUUUAAAUUUUUUUAAUUGCCACUUUGUUGGUU
rnacentral:lncRNA from 1 species